UACGUAGGGCGCAAGCGUUGUCCGGAAUUAUUGGGCGUAAAGAGCUCGUAGGCGGUUUGUCGCGUCUGCUGUGAAAACCUGAGGCUCAACCUCGGGCUUGCAGUGGGUACGGGCAGACUAGAGUGCGGUAGGGGUGACUGGAAUUCCUGGUGUAGCGGUGGAAUGCGCAGAUAUCAGGAGGAACACCGGUGGCGAAGGCGGGUCUCUGGGCCGUAACUGACGCUGAGGAGCGAAAGCAUGGGGAGCGAACAGG
rnacentral:rRNA from 1 species